rnacentral:rRNA from 1 species
GACGAACGCUGGCGGCGUGCUUAACACAUGCAAGUCGAACGAAGUGGCGAACGGGUGAGUAACGCGUACUCACCCUGCCCUUCAGAGGGGGACAACAGUUGGAAACGACUGCUAAUACCGCAUACUGAAGGAGGGGAUUGCGUCUGAUUAGCGAGUUGGAGGGGUAACGGCCCACCAAGGCGAUGAUAAGUAGCCGGUCUGUGAGGAUGGACGGCCACAUUGGAGCGGAGCAACGGCCCAAACUCCUACGGGAGGCAGCCGGGGGGAAUCUUCCGCAAUGGACGAAAGUCUGACGGAGCAACGCCGCGGUGGUGGUGACGGCCUUCGGGUUUGAAAGCUCUUGUAAUCGGGACGCGGUACCGGAAUAGAAAGCCACGGCUAACUACGUGCCAGCAGCCGCGGUAAUAC